CCUGGGCGCGGUGGCACAUGCCUGUAAUCCCAGCAGCUCGGGAGGCUGAGGCAGGAGGAUCUCGAGUUCAAAGCCAGCCUCAGCAAAAGUGAGGCACUAAGCAACUCAGUGAGACCCUGUCUCUA
rnacentral:sRNA from 1 species